UUUUAUCCCUUCUCUCUCUCCUCUCCCACGUCAGUUUUCUCUCUCUCCUCUCUUCCUCUCCCGUCGCACCCAGCCGUGCGACGCUUCGACUUCUAGGCGACGGCCCGGCCACCACAGGCCGAGCCGAUCUACGGCAAGGGUACCGUCGGCUCCGCCUCCCUCUCGCCGCCAAGACCUGACCGACCUCCACCCUUGGGCCGCCAUGAGUUGAUCGGAAAACCAUGAUUUCCGAUGGAUGUUCAUCCGAGUUCACCCGAUCUUCCAGCUCGAAUUUCUCCUUCGUUUCUCCACCAAAUCAAUUGAGUAAGGCACCAAAGGUCCAGUCGACCCGCAGCCGGGACCUUCGAAGGGUCAAAUUAGCUCGGACCAUCUGCCGUAGAAGUACGCGGGAUCCACCACCGGGCCAUUCAUAGCUUCCGCGCCUCGAAGUCAGGUAGAGUGUUGUAGAAAAUCCUUACAACCCUGAAAAAUUUAGAAAAUGCUCUGAUAUCUAGUUGAAACUGAGAAACUACAGUUGAGAUUGAUUACUUGAGAUAUUCUGGCA